rnacentral:rRNA from 1 species
UACAGAGGGUGCGAGCGUUAAUCGGAAUUACUGGGCGUAAAGCGCGCGUAGGCGGCUUUGCAAGUCGGGUGUGAAAUCCCCAGGCUUAACCUGGGAACUGCAUUCGAGACUGCAUUGCUAGAGUAUGGGAGAGGGAAGUGGAAUUUCAGGUGUAGCGGUGAAAUGCGUAGAUAUCUGAAGGAACAUCAGUGGCGAAAGCGACUUCCUGGACCAGUACCGACGUUCAGGCACGAAAGCGUGGGGAGCAAACAGG